AUGGCACCGAAGAAGGAGAAGGCCCCGGCGGCGUCGUCCAAGCCGGCCAAGUCCGGCGGCGGCAAGCAGAAGAAGAAGAAGUGGAGCAAGGGCAAGCAAAAGGAGAAGGUGAACAACGCGGUGCUGUUCGACCAGGCCACCUACGACAAGCUGCUCACCGAGGUGCCCAAGUACAAGCAGAUCACGCCCUCCGUCCUCUCCGAGCGCCUCAGGAUCAACGGGUCUCUGGCACGCAGGGCUAUCAAGGACCUGAUGGAGAGGGGACUCAUCAGGAUGGUGUCAAUCCACUCCAGCCAGCAGAUCUUCACCAGGGCGACAAACACCUGA
rnacentral:rRNA from 1 species